CACGAAGCAAAUUGAGCUAAUUUAAUUCAUGUUUUAGAAUUAUGGUAUGUUACAUAAUACAUAAUGAUUUUAAGUUAGGAGUGACAUUCCUUACAAAUUUUGCGAUACCUUGAUGUGUCUGACAAGUAUUUAGUACAAUGAUAAUUUAUAAGCGCUAAGGUUUAUAAAAAAUAUUAACAAUUGAGUAUUUUAAAUCUGUUCUAUAUAAUAAUUAACAAGUCUUUAAUUUUAUUAUUAUUAUAUGUUAUUUAUAGCUACUAAGACACAGUGUGAAUUAUAUAAAUAUUAUAUAAUGUUAUUAUUAGUAAUAAAUAGAUAUUUAUAAUGAACUCGGCAACAUAUCUUUCAACUGUUUAUCAAAAACAUAGUUAUUAGAAAUUAUUAUUAAUGUGUUCUGCUCAAUGAAGAAUUAAAUAGCCGCAGUACCCUGACUGUGCAAAGGUAGCAUAAUCAUUUGGCUUAUAAUUGAAGUCUUGUAUGAAUGAAAUGAUGGGGGAUAACUGUAUCAAAAAUAUUACGUAAACUUACUUAUAAAGUGCAAAUACUUUAAGUUAAAUAACAGACGAGAAGACCCUAGAAAUUUUAAAAACAUGUACUAGGAGGUUUUUGUUGGGGCAACAGUGUAACAAGUAAUUUACAUUUAAACAAGAAAUAAAAUAGAUCGAAUAAAUUACUCUAGGGAUAACAGCGUAAUAUAGAAAUGUUUGCGACCUCGAUGUUGGAUUAGGAAACAAAAGCUUAG
rnacentral:rRNA from 1 species